rnacentral:rRNA from 1 species
UACGUAGGGUGCAGGCGUUAAUCGGAAUUACUGGGCGUAAAGCGUGCGCAGGCGGUUUGCUAAGACAGGUGUGAAAUCCCCAGGCUUAACCUGGGAACUGCGCUUGUAACUGGCAAGCUAGAGUGUGGCAGAGGGAGGUGGAAUUCCACGUGUAGCGGUGAAAUGCGUAGAGAUGUGGAGGAACACCGAUGGCGAAGGCAGCCUCCUGGGCCAACACUGACGCUCAUGCACGAAAGCGUGGGGAGCAAACAGG